UUUUUUUUUUUUCUUUUUUUUUUUUUUUUCAAUUUUUAAAGCGGAUUAUUUUUAAACUACAGUACCUUUUGAGGGAAAAUAAGGAUAAAGGUAUACACAAGAAGGGUUAA
rnacentral:ribozyme from 13 species